AAGACCUGGCCAGCCUCACAGCAACAAAUGGGGGCUGAAUAGCUGACUGUGGUGUCCCAGACAUUUUCACAGCUACACUGCAGGACCUGCCUAGGAUUAGGGAACAUAUUGCGGCUCACUUUCUUUUUCACCGAGUCACCAGCAUGACGCAUCAAUUCAUUGCUGGCGUGGAUUCAUGUGGCCAGUUCUGGCAAAUGGUGCAGAGAUUCUGGAGACAGUUUCUUCCUGUAUUUACCAAUACUGGAGGGAAAAUGACAAGGAACUGUGUCCAGAAUCCUUACAGCACUGCCUGGAGUCCUGCUGGAAGCAACAGAAGGGGCAAAGAAGAAGCCACAAUUUUCCUGUGGGAAUGAUGGCUUAUGGCAAUUUAAGAUCGAGAUGAUGCAGAGAAGCCUCCUGUGGGCAAGUGGGCAUUGAUCAAUAUUACAGCUGCAGAUCGGCUUCUCAGUGACUUGGCUGAAUUAAUUCAAGGUCACAAUGUCUUCUCAGCCUGAACAA